rnacentral:rRNA from 1 species
AACUCUAUGCGAUGGAUCACUCGGCUCGUGUCGAUGAAAAGCGCAGCCAACUGUGUGGAUUAAUGUGAAUCGCAGACUGCCUUGAACAUCGACCUCUUGAACGCAAAUUGCGGCCGAAGGCCUGCCCACGGCCACGUCUGGCCGAGGGUCG